UUAAAGCGUCAACAAACAGUUUACCAAGUGUACAUAUUUUUAUGGUUAUCGAAUUUUUAAAAAACGACCAACGUCUUAAUUCAGCCGAAUGUAAGGGUGUCAAAGCAGCAGCCCGUAAGCCCUCUCUCAUACGCAUACUACCGACCAUACUCCUACUGGCACAACUCGCCAUGGUACAGCUCUCCUUGGUACUCAAAAUACUACUCCUAUGGAAAUUAUUGGUAAUGGAAAAGAAGCCCAAAUUGAAGCUAAAGUCAUGGCUGUAAAUGAAUAGUGUGUACAAUAAUAAAUAAACUGUUUACCA